rnacentral:rRNA from 1 species
UACGGAGGGUGCAAGCGUUAAUCGGAAUUACUGGGCGUAAAGCGCACGCAGGUGGCUGAGUCAGUCGAUUGUGAAAGCCCUGGGCUUAACCUGGGAAUUGCAGUCGAUACUACUCAGCUAGAGUAUGGGAGAGGGUAGUGGAAUUCCCGGUGUAGCGGUGAAAUGCGUAGAUAUCGGGAGGAACAUCAGUGGCGAAGGCGGUCUGCUGGGCAGUUUCUGACACUGAGGCGCGACAGCGUGGGGAGCAAACAGG